rnacentral:rRNA from 1 species
UACGUAGGGGGCUAGCGUUGUCCGGAUUUAUUGGGCGUAAAGAGCGUGUAGGCGGCCAGGUAGGUCUGCUGUGAAAACUCGAGGCUCAACCUCGAGACGUCGGCGGAAACCAUCUGGCUAGAGUCCGGAAGAGGAGAGUGGAAUUCCUGGUGUAGCGGUGAAAUGCGCAGAUAUCAGGAAGAACACCCGUGGCGAAGGCGGCUCUCUGGGCCUUACCUGACGCUGAGGAGCGAAAGCGUGGGAGCGAACAGG